GCUCCAUCUUUUGUAGUCAAA
rnacentral:snRNA from 1 species